ACGGGUGCGUAACGCGUGGGAAUCUGCCCUUGGGUUCGGAAUAACUCAGAGAAAUUUGAGCUAAUACCGGAUGAUGUCGAAAGACCAAAGAUUUAUCGCCCAGGGAUGAGCCCGCGUAGGAUUAGCUAGUUGGUGAGGUAAAGGCUCACCAAGGCGACGAUCCUUAGCUGGUCUGAGAGGAUGAUCAGCCACACUGGGACUGAGACACGGCCCAGACUCCUACGGGAGGCAGCAGUGGGGAAUAUUGGACAAUGGGCGAAAGCCUGAUCCAGCAAUGCCGCGUGAGUGAUGAAGGCCUUAGGGUUGUAAAGCUCUUUUACCCGGGAUGAUAAUGACAGUACCGGGAGAAUAAGCCCCGGCUAACUCCGUGCCAGCAGCCGCGGUAAUACGGAGGGGGCUAGCGUUAUUCGGAAUUACUGGGCGUAAAGCGCACGUAGGCGGCUUUGUAAGUCAGAGGUGAAAGCCUGGAGCUCAACUCCAGAACUGCCUUUGAGACUGCAUCGCUUGAAUCCAGGAGAGGUGAGUGGAAUUCCGAGUGUAGAGGUGAAAUUCGUAGA
rnacentral:rRNA from 1 species